rnacentral:rRNA from 1 species
CCUCUGGAUUGUAAACUUCUUUUAUCUGGGACGAAAAAAGGUCUUUCUAGACCCCUUGACGGUACCAGAUGAAUAAGCACCGGCUAACUCCGUGCCAGCAGCCGCGGUAAUACGGAGGGUGCAAGCGUUAUCCGGAUUCACUGGGGUUUAAAGGGUGCGUAGGCGGGUAGGUAAGUCAGUGGUGAAAUCCUGGAGCUCAACUCCAGAACUGCCAUUGAUACUAUCUAUCUUGAAUAUUGUGGAGGUAAGCGGAAUAUGUCAUGUAGCGGUGAAAUGCUUAGAUAUGACAUAGAACACCCAUUGCGAAGGCAGCUUACUACGCAUAUAUUGACGCUGAGGCACGAAAGCGUGGGGAUCAACAGGAUAUAGACCCUGGUAGUCCACGCCCUAAACGAUGGAUACUC